rnacentral:lncRNA from 1 species
UGGCGCCACUGCACUCCAGCCUGGGCAACAGAGUGAGACUCCAUCUCAAAAAAAAAAAGGUCUGUGCCAUCCCUUAACAAAACUCCUAUCACUUGCUCUUCAUCUUCCAUGUGCUAUGCACCCUAUACCCCACUAUAGGCACUUAUCUAAACACUCCUUGUCUUUUCAUAUUUAUUUAUUCACAUGUCCCAUAAUUUUUUAUUUGAUAUCAUCUAUGAACCAGGCCCUGUGCUCACUGCUGGGAGAGAUAAACAUGAAUCAGACCCUGGCCCUGCACUCUGGAGGAUGAAGUCUGUUCUUCAUGUUGUUGCUAUUCUGCCAUUUUGAUAUACCCUUUUCCAUCAGAAAAUGUCUACUCUCAUAAAUAGAAAGUCUUAUAUUUUUCCCACAUAUCAGUGCAUCAUUUUAUGUAUGCACUCCUUGGAGUUCAUACAGUGCACUUUGAAGACAUCUGGACUAAGACCCAGAAACAGGAAGUAAAUAGAGUUUUUUGGUUGAAAGUGACAGAAAACCAAUUCAAACAAGUAGGAAAGGGAAUUUAUUGGUUCACAUAAGCAGGAAGUGCCGAGGUAGAUUAGAGCUGACCUUAGAGACUCCAAGAACACAUCACCUGUCACUCCCUCUGUCUGCCUCCUCAGGCCUUCUACCCUGAUGACUUCUAUUGCAGAGAUGGGUGAAGAGUAGAUGGUAGAUCUGGUGGCAGAAAGCUAUGAGCUUAUGUCAAUCCAGCCUAGUGAUGCCCCUGGAAAAAUAUGUUCUUUCCUAGCAUUCAUCUAAAAAUCUUAAGAAAUGGUUGUCAUUGACCCAAUUUGGAUAAUGUAUUCAUUCCUGAACCAGUAACUGAGGCAAGGGGAUGAAGAGCUCUGAAGGGAGAGGCUUGAAUCACAUACUCAUCCCUGUGGUCUGGAGGGCACUGUGACUGGUAACUGAAGAAGAACCACAUGGAAUUGGGGAGGAGCAGUUCUCCAAAGGAAGGUGAGUGCUGUAAUCAGAAAGGGGGGAAAGGAUCGGGGGCAGACAAACACAAAAAAUGCCACUACAGACAGUGUGGAGGCAAAACUAGACUACUGAUCCUUGAUUCUUUCCAUUGCAUUAUGGUGUUGUAGCUAGAUGAUCAAACCACAUAUCCCUCAGAAGACAGGUAUGAUCCUAAGAUAGUCCAGUCCUCAUUAUUGUACAGGAGCUGCAUAGGCAGAACAUUUCCUUACUCCUGAUGUUUCUUUCUAGACUUCUGCUUCCAGUUGUAAGGGAAGCCCUAUAAUUGAGACAGACUUACCAUUCUCCUGUAAACAGAAAACUUGACAAAACAUAUGAAAUAACAGUUUUCAGACAAUGGACUGUGAUCCUUGAGAGAAUGGAAACAAAUGAGCUUCCUUGGCCUUUGGAGAUAUGCUCAACAAUUUAGAGAAAAGCAUGAACAUAAUGAGGAAAUAAAUUGAAGAUAAGAAGACUCAAACAGAACUCCUAAGGGAGGAAAAAUACAGUGUUUAAAAUGAAAAUGUUACCAGAUAGGAUGAAAAGCUAAUUAGAUACUGCAAAAGAAAAGAUCAGUGAACUUGAAGACACACCUUAGAAACGAUCUCAAACGAAGCACAGAGAGGAAAAAAAGAGUGAGAUAAAAACCAAUAUCACUGAUCUAUGGGACAAUGUCAAGCAGUCCGACAGACAUAACACUGGAGUCGCAAAAGGGGAUGUGGGGGCAGAAAAAACAUUUUGAAAAAAUAAUGGGCAAACAUUUUCCAAAUUUGAUGACAGCUAUAAAUCCAGAUCAAAGAAGCUCAAGGAACCCCAAGCAUGAUAAAUAAAAAUAAAAUCACACCAGGGAGCAUUACAUUUAAAUUGCUGAAAGCCAGUGAUAAAGAUAAAAUCUUAAAAGCAGUCAGAGGAAAAUUAAGAAAAGACAUUAUGUACCUAGGAACAAAGAUAACAAUGACAGCAGACUACUCAUCAGAAACUAUGCAAGCUGGAAGACAAUGAAACAUCUUUAAAUGCUGAAAGAAGAAAACCCCAAAAACCUAUUAACCUAGAAUUAUGUUCACAGUGAAAGUACCUUUCAAAAAUUAAGAUGAAAUAAAAUUUUU